rnacentral:rRNA from 1 species
GAUGAACGCUGGCGGCGUGCCUAAUACAUGCAAGUCGAGCGAGCGGACGAGAAGCUUGCUUCUCUGAUGUUAGCGGCGGACGGGUGAGUAACACGUGGAUAACCUACCUAUAAGACUGGGAUAACUUCGGGAAACCGGAGCUAAUACCGGAUAAUAUUUUGAACCGCAUGGUUCAAAAGUGAAAGACGGUCUUGCUGUCACUUAUAGAUGGAUCCGCGCUGCAUUAGCUAGUUGGUAAGGUAACGGCUUACCAAGGCAACGAUGCAUAGCCGACCUGAGAGGGUGAUCGGCCACACUGGAACUGAGACACGGUCCAGACUCCUACGGGAGGCAGCAGUAGGGAAUCUUCCGCAAUGGGCGAAAGCCUGACGGAGCAACGCCGCGUGAGUGAUGAAGGUCUUCGGAUCGUAAAACUCUGUUAUUAGGGAAGAACAUAUGUGUAAGUAACUGUGCACAUCUUGACGGUACCUAAUCAGAAAGCCACGGCUAGCUACGUG